AUAUCACUCUCCUGAGGAUAACACAGAGAGAUAAAGAACAGAUGUUGUUUGAAUGCCAGCAAAGACCGGGACCAUAUGCUGCCAGACUUUGUCUGCAAUG